rnacentral:lncRNA from 1 species
CUUUUCUACAAAAAAGUCAAAGUUAUCUAUAAAAUUAAAAGGCGAAUGCCAAAUUAUAAUGCAAGAAUAUCAACAUAUUAAGUAAGGUAUUCUUUUAAAAGGCUUCACCCUCUUGGAACAGCUGUGCCACCAGCUGGGUGGAUGAAAAGCCACAAGGAGAAAAAGCAGAUCACGGAGUCAAAAGCCCCAGUCAACUGUCAGACACAGAGAGGAAGCUGCAGAGAAUCUUCAGGAAAUUGAGGAAAACUACUGUUCUUCUUUGCGCAGCAGAGGACAAGACUCAGAGCUCAAACAAGGUAGCUUCUUUCUAGAUUUACCACCGCUUUCCUCCUUUUUCGUGGAUCACAUGGAUUGACUCUACUAUGCUUGUCU